UGGCGGACGGGUGAGUAACGCGUAAAGAACUUGCCCUUUAGACUGGGAUAACAGAGGGAAACUUCUGAUAAUACUGGAUAAGUUAGUAUCUCGCAUGAUAUGCAAAUGAAAGCUACGGCACUAAAGGAGAGCUUUGCGUCCUAUUAGCUAGUUGGUAAGGUAAGAGCUUACCAAGGCGAUGAUAGGUAGCCGGCCUGAGAGGGUGGACGGCCACAAGGGGACUGAGAUACGGCCCUUACUCCUACGGGAGGCAGCAGC
rnacentral:rRNA from 1 species